rnacentral:rRNA from 1 species
UACAGAGGAUGCAAGCGUUAUCCGGAAUGAUUGGGCGUAAAGCGUCUGUAGGUGGCUUUUUAAGUCCGCCGUCAAAUCCCAGGGCUCAACUCUGGACAGGCGGUGGAAACUACCAAGCUGGAGUACGGUAGGGGCAGAGGGAAUUUCCGGUGGAGCGGUGAAAUGCGUAGAGAUCAGGAAGAACACCCGUGGCGAAGGCGGCUCUCUGGGACGGUACUGACGCUGAGACGCGAAAGCGUGGGGAGCGAACAGG